GCGGGACUCUGUAACUUUUAUAGCGAAAGCGUAAGCGUGAUUUCCGAACGCUUUCAUCAAGUUAUACUCUGUAAACUGCUGUCGGAUGACGUCGGCAACACCGAAUGGAGUUCGGAAGUAAAGCGAAACGUGAUUAUUUGUGGUUUCGUUUCACCACGUUUAGCGCUUAGAGUGACGUAUUAGAAGAAGAAAUUGACAAUUUUACUUGGUUUUGAGGUUGUUUUUUACCACGUUUCGUUUUUUUGGCCGUUGUUGUUUACAAAUACAUAAUAUACUCGAGUUUUCAGUUUUCACAAAUACAUUUUUUUAACAUGGAAAUAUAUAUAAUGUUAUCCAUCAACGGUUGCAAUUCAUUAAAAAGGUAAUGGAAUAAAUCUUUAUUUAAUCUAAACAACUCUACGAAUCGUAAAUCCGGCAAACCAAAAUAAUCACUUCUAUCCCUUAAAAAUCUACCUUCUUCACGAAUCAGCCGUAACUGAUCCCUACGUUCUUGUUCGUCGAAAAUUAUUAAAUUUAUAGGCAACAUUUUAUUUAAUUUCAACAAUAAACACUUGUUUUUGUUUACCUUAUGCUUUUUUGGAAUUAUAGGUUAGUUAAAUCUGUCAAAUGUGUAGAAUCACAUCACAUUUCCACAGGACGGAGUUUAUCUGUGGUAUAGAACAAGACAAUUAUUACAGAACUCUAAAAUCUUGAAACAACGUGCUGUGUUGCCGUUAAUUUUUACCCCAUCUUUCGUUUCAAUUCGGUCCAGUUCGUAGAGUAUUGCGAUAGUAUAGCGAAGCGAAGUCACACAAUACAGAGUACGAUUCGAACUGAACCGUUGCUUUGCUACGCUUCGCUACGACUUGCUUACGCUUUCGCUAUAAAAGUUAUAGAGUCCCACUGCAGUAGAAUGGUAGAAUGCUGACGUCACAAAAAUAAUUCUACAAUCGACAAUUUUGGUAUCACGUUAACACGCUUGGGAAAGUAGAAUCGGUGCUCGGCAAUGUUCGGAUAUUCUACUAGCCGUGUUAAAAAUAUCGCUUCUUCUUCUUAAAAAUAUUGCUGUUUGACGUGUGGUUGUCUUUAUUUUGUGGUGGUUGCAUUCAAAAAGCUAACCUAAAGAUUAUUAUUUGUGAUUAUUUGCGUUUAUUUGAGAUAUUAUGUUUAUUUUUGUCUUAUGUUUGUUUGGAACUAUUUUAUUAGAAAUCACUAAAUUUUUGGAUUUUACCUGUGACUAGGGAACAUUGUUAUAUAAAGGUAUUUUUAUUCUUGGUAUGAAACAAUGUUAAGACAAUACUGUGUGCUUUUUCAGUCCUAUGAAAGAAAAUGUUUUGGAUGUAACAGAGAAGUACUACAACUUUGUUAUGAAGAUUUGUCUUUGUUAUUUUUAUAAUGUUCAUGGAUUAUAUUUGUUUUUAUGUAUUCUUCAGUUUAAAUAAAGUUUAUGUUUUACCCA